AACUAUAUCUAUCUUAUUAUAUCUUAUAGGUAGUCCGACCCGCAUCAGGUUACUAUUUUUAUUUUGGGUAAGUUUCAAGGACAUUAUGGUCACGUUAACUGGAAACUAAUUUAAUUGUGUUCAUCAUGAGUUAACAUUUAAAAUAUAAUGGAUUUUUAACUUGGUUUUUACGUUGCACUGAAUGAGGAAAUAUAUAGAGUUACUGUUUUUAUCGUUGUUUGUUAAACUCUCUUGCUGCCGGAGGGACAUAUUAUGUGUCCACACCGACUAUGCCGGAGUGACAAAUAUGUCCAUGUUUUAAUUCAUGCAAGCUUCUCAUUGUGUCUUUUUAAAUAAAAAACCAAAGAUUUAACAGUGUUAUAUUUUUUAGUCAAUGGGUCCAAAAUGUAACGAUCAUUAAAACGUGACGUCAUAUAUCGGACAACGACGUCGCUGUUGGAAAUCUACCGCCAUUGACGUCGAGCUGUCAUAUUUUCUGCCACACGAAAUGCAACCUUGAAAAACAACUUGCAGUAAGAGGAAUAACGUCCAGUAGGGAAUAUUAUUGAUUGAUUUGUGUUUAACGCCUCUCCAACAUUGUUGUGCUAUUUCGUGGCGAUCAGUUUUUAUUUGUGGAGGAAACCGCAGUGCGGGGAUAUUAAGAAACGCAUAUGUUCAUAUAUAAUAUCAACACGUACAGUUUAGUUUCGUUCCAUAUUGUGUUAUAGUAUACCAUAAAACUAAUGCAUUCGUGUCAUUUUUUAAAAUAUUCAGAUAGAAUAAACUGCAUGGCUUAUCAUUUAAACUACUUAUCACAGGUUCAAAAUAAAAUUUCGGCAUAAACAUUUUUAGCUUUAGGAGCAAAGAUAAAAAUCCACUCCCAUAAACAUCCUCUAGCCAUAAAUAAGGUACAUUCUUUGAAGCUCUGUACAUUUUUCUUGCAACGUCAAUUGACAUUAUAGAACUGUGUCCAGCACAAUAUGGUAGAAACUUUGUGAAUGGAUAUUCCUCCAGUGUUAUAAACCAUUUUUUGUUACUUUCACGAACCGGAAUAUUUUUCGUUAUCGUUUGACAUUCAAGAACAUUGACCGAUUUUCCUGUCUUUAGCUUCUCUGUCAGGUAGAGUAUUACUAGUGGAAUAUUGAUAAUAAUAUCAUCGUCCAUCUUGAUGACGAAUUUCGCAUUUUUGCAGAAAUUAUUCAACCAAAACAAGCUAAAUACCAGUUUGUAUGUUAAAUUCCUGUAUGAAUCGAUGUAGUUUCCUUGAAUUAUGUCCAUGUAUAUCUUACUUUCGUUUUCAAGAUCUUUUUGAAGGGUUGCGUUUUCGGUUUUGCCGAGCACAAAUACAUAUUCAAUGCGUUUAUUGUGAAAUUUUAGAAUUGAUCCAAACGUGGAUCUUAUCAGAAUGCGCCCAGCAAAAUUGCCCGGUGCCAUAUGUACAAAUACUAAAAGAAAAAGAUUUUUCCCUUUGCAUUUCACAACAUUGUUUAGUAAUAGUUCGUAGCGAUGUUGAUGGAUAAAAGGAUCCAUAAGUUCAUAAUCAGAAGCAUUUAUAUAAAAGCUCUCAAACUCCGUAGAGAUAUUUCUGCCAUGAAAUAAAAGUAUUUUGUUUCUAGCGUUUUGUACCUUUUCAUUUAUGCUGUUGUACACUGUUUCAUAGUAUGUUGAAAAAGAAAUUAUCACUGUCU
rnacentral:lncRNA from 1 species